ACCAUCAGUCCUUUCUGCCAUCCUUGCAGUAAGGGCUGUAUAUGGGGCAAGUAAUUGAACCGAUAACACCUUAAACCACACCAUCUCAAUCCACUUGAGGAUCCUAACAUAGCUGUGUAAUGCAUAAAUAGUCAUAAAGUCUGCUGAAGCUUGUCUCCUUCCUUCGCAAGCUUAUAGUAAUAUAGUUCCUUAACAGGAGUACGACUAGCCAGCACCUGAGCUGCUCCACUAACUCUGCUGGCAGCUUUGGAGGCGGCUAGCUCACCCCCUUGCCGAGCCCUAGCUGGCAGCAGCAAGGGUUGUCACUGCGAGGGGCUGGUGCUGGUGCUAGGAGAACUGGAUUCCAGUCACAGCUGGAGGAAUUGCUAGAUAAGGACAGUGACGUUAGCUAGACUCCACUUCUAAGGUGUUUUACAAAGGACAGCUAGGGAAACAAAUCAAAUGGAAUGACAAAGCCAAGAUAUUUUUUGAUGGUUUAGAAAGAAUGCAAAGGAGGCAUCAAGAACCCUUGGAGAAGCUGCACCUCUUAAGACAAGGCUGAGCCACAUCAGAUGGUUUUUUUUCUUGCUUCCUUUCUGAACUGCUGAAGAGAAUCGCAUCUCGACAAUCUGCUCCAUUAUUUAUAGUUAAUAUGAAGAGAAUUGGAAAGUUCCACUGAAGUCCUCAAACAGAUUUCUCAUUUCACGCUCAGAAGGAGACUAAGAAGAGUGGAAAAACAAGUGAGCUAACACACAGAAUGAGGUUGGCCUUAAAGACAAAUAGAGCCUUCCCAGAGUACACCGAUAUUCUUCAUUGCCAGUCCUCAAAUGUGGGAAGUACUGGCAGAUUCCUACUACAACCAGGUGACUGUAUGAAGGCAAUAGAAGUUCUGUAA
rnacentral:lncRNA from 1 species